GAUGAACGCUGACAGAAUGCUUAACACAUGCAAGUCAACUGUGGCGGACGGGUGAGUAACGCGUAAAGAACUUGCCUCACGGAUAGGGACAACAUUUGGAAACGAAUGCUAAUACCUGAUACUGUGAGAGAGCUUUGCGUCCCAUUAGCUAGUUGGAGAGGUAACGGCUCACCAAGGCGAUGAUGGGUAGCCGGCCUGCGAGGGUGGUCGGCCACAAGGGGACUGAGACACAGGCAUUACUCCUACGGGAGGCAGCAGUGGGGAAUAUCGGACAAUGGACCAAAGUCGGAUCCAGCAAUUCUGUGGGUACGAUGAAGUUUUCGGAAUGUAAAGUGCUUGCAGUUGGGAAGCGGUACCAACAGAAGAAGCACCGGCUAACUCCGUGCCAGCCGCCGCGGUAAUAC
rnacentral:rRNA from 1 species